AGGAAAUGGAACCCAAUGAAGGGAUCCCGAAAGUCCAUGGUACACACAUGUCAGCAACAUUUCUUUGGAAAAAUCACAUAAAAAGGGUCCCAAGAUGUAGUCCACCGAGACAGUAGAAUUGUUCUUAUCUGAUAGACCUUGUCAUCAGCAAAAAAAGGUGUUUUGUGAAUGGGAGCAGUGGGUUGAAGUUUAUCUGGAGCAGGGCAUUGUGGCACACCGUGCACUGUCCUAUUCAUCAUUUCAGAGGGUGCCAUCUUGAUGUCUGCAUUCACCCACACCGCCUACUUUAUCUUAGAUCUCCAAUGAAUUGGUAUACUCCAUAUAUUACUGAUGUCCACAGUUUGGCGAAUUUUGAAAAAUGUUAAGCUGCACUCCUGUAAUCUAGCGUUUUCCUAUAUUAUAUCGGUAAUAUAUGUGAACAUGUUUAAUAGUUGGGCAAAAAGUUUCAGUUGAUUGUAACUGCUUCAUCGUAGAAAUAAACAUGCAUAUAUAUGCUACUUCAA